rnacentral:lncRNA from 1 species
UGAAUUCCAAUGCUGAUUUUACUAUUUGUUCACUUGGGAAUUUACUUCGCUCUCUGAGCCUUGGUUUCCAGGUACAUACAAAAGUGAAAGGCAAAACCUGCAAGUUUCUCAAGCAGUGUCUUGGAGGAAGAGAUAUGUACCUAACAACAGAUGGAUUGAGAGAGCUUCAAACAGAGACACCAAUGUGGAAGCCUUUGCAGAGAUAUCCCAGUCUCCAUAUGCAAACCCAUCAAGAGG